GCUUGCUCUGUGGGUCGUGAUUUAGUGAGUGGCCAAACCUCAGAGGUGACAGAGAACCAGACUCAGAAGGACUGGGAUGGGGCCCAAGAAGGCGUGAUUUCAGCCAACCCUGAAGGGGACACGGGUUCAAUCCCUGGUCGGGGAACUAAGGUCCGACACACUGCAGAGCAACUAAGCCCUUGCUCUGCAACUACUGAGCCCACGUGCCACAACUAGAGAGAAGCCCACAUGCCUCAGUGGACGACCCUGCAGGCUGCAACUAAGACCCAACACAGCCAAAAAGCAAAAACGUCCCUGGAUUCAGAGGCUCGUUCAAGCACCGCUUUGGGGCCUGAGAAAGGCCCCGAUGGUGAGACGACCUUGCUGUCCUGAGCCCCUGCUUUCUGCUCUGCGAUGUGGAAAGCGAGUCCUUGCAGAAAGGCUGG